UACGAAGGGGGGCUAGCGUUGUUCGGAUUUACUGGGCGUAAAGCGCACGUAGGCGGAUCGUUAAGUCGGGGGUGAAAUCCUGGAGCUCAACUUCGGAGCUGCCUCUGAUACAGCACGUCUUGAGUCCGGAAGAGGUGGGUGGAAUUCCUAGUGUAGAGGUGAAAUUCGUAGAUAUUAGGAAGAACACCGGUGGCGAAGGCGCCCACUGGUCCGGUACUGACGCUGAGGUGCGAAAGCGUGGGGAGCAAACAGG
rnacentral:rRNA from 1 species